UACGGAGGGUGCGAGCGUUGUCCGGAAUCACUGGGCGUAAAGGGCGCGUAGGUGGCGGAGCAAGUCAACGGUGAAAGCUCGACGCUCAACGUCGAGUCGGCCGUCGAGACUGCUUUGCUCGAGCACUGUAGAGGCAGAUGGAAUUCCGGGUGUAGCGGUGGAAUGCGUAGAGAUCCGGAAGAACACCGGUGGCGAAGGCGGUCUGA
rnacentral:rRNA from 1 species